UGGGGAAUAUUGAACAAUGGGGGGAACCCUGAUCCAGCCAUGCCGCGUGUGUGAAGAAGGCCUUAUGGUUGUAAAGCACUUUAAGCGAGGAGGAGGGUACUGGUAUUAAUACUACCAGGUACUGGACGUUACUCGCAGAAUAAGCACCGGCUAACUCUGUGCCAGCAGCCGCGGUAAUACAGAGGGUGCGAGCGUUAAUCGGAUUUACUGGGCGUAAAGCGUGCGUAGGCGGCUAAUUGAGUCGGAUGUGAAAUCCCCGAGCUUAACUUGGGAAUUGCAUUCGAGAAUGGUUAGCUAGAGUGUGGGAGAGGAUGGUAGAAUUCCAGGUGUAGCGGUGAAAUGCGUAGAGAUCUGGAGGAAUACCGAUGGCGAAGGCAGCCAUCUGGCCUAACACUGACGCUGAGGUACGAAAGCAUGGGGAGCAAACAGG
rnacentral:rRNA from 1 species